rnacentral:lncRNA from 1 species
CUUCUGCGAGGGCGCGAGGACUCCAGGAGCCGUCCUGGUUCGAGCAUUUCUGAAGAAACUGAGUUCCCGGCGUUCGCAGCCUGGGAGUCACAGGCGCCCACCCACCGGUAGGUCCUUGAGUUUCGAGAGCCAGUAGCUGAAGGAGAGAGGAGAGGCAAGUGCCUACAACUCCCAGAGCACUGCGCGGAGGCGCCCGGCCGCGCUGUCCUGGCCGCCAGGCUGCCUCUCCCGCUGGGGGCCGCCGCGCUGUCUGCGGGCUACUAGCGCCGGGCCCCUCCGCGUCGCCACGCCUGCCCUUCACAGCCUUGGCCCAUAAGGUCACCGAGGGGCGGGAGGCGCCGCCCGGGCCCUCCUUGGAGGCGGGCGCUGCUCCCGCACCAUCCUCCCCCAGUUCUCUUAGACUCCGGGGUACUUUGGAGGCCGAGACAGACACGCUGUCCCUGCUGCCACGGAGGUCCCUGCUUGCAGGUGCAGGCUGUUAGAGGAGAGGGUCUGAAAACAAGAAAGGGGAAUAGCUGUAUGAUAACUGCUUGAAGGCGAGAGGGCCCAGCGACAGCUCUGUUUUAGACAGGGCCUCCAGGCCUCUUAGACUCAGUCCCUGCCACGCACCCACUCCUGCCCUGGCCGCUGCGACGGCAUAAUCUCGGGAUCUUUGAAGGCAGAUGCGGGGCUAAACCAUCCCACCUGACGGGAACCCUGCCACAGGACCCGACAUAUCCCUGUCUGGACACUGCUGUAACGAGUCAAAGUCAGGAAGGACUAACUGGAGCCCAGAGAUUCCCAGGUGCUGCUGCCUCAGACCUGUGGACUCUUUGGAGGAUCUCUUACAGUUUGUGAACUUCUCAGUUCCUCUACUGCUCCCACAGACAACGUUGCUAAACAUAUUAAUUGGUCCCAUAAAUACUUGAGCAAAACAAAUGCGAAAAUCUGUCCCGAAUUCAGCCUAGAAGAAGCCCAGCCCUGCGCGUCACACUUCUGUGUAGUGGAACCCCCCUUCCCACCCCGCCGCAGGCCACAGCAGGAGGGCCAGCAGACGGAAAGGCGACCCUCUCCUUGUUGAGGAUUCCUUUCGAUUUCCUUCCAGCUGACAUUCUACCACAGUUUUAGCUGCUUGCAAUCCUCUCACCGUCCCUCAUCACCUACAGUGUGUGAUUCAAAUUCCUUAGCACAAUCAAGAAGCCCCUCCUUAGUUUGGAAGUUGCCUAGCUCUCCAAAUUCAACUGCCUACCUUUCCCGUCUGGAACUUGCCAGGCUAGUAAAUUCAGAGGGUUUGCAGAUACGUAGAUGUUCUAUGCUUUACCUAAAAUGCUUUUACCUCCCAGCCAACUUUUUUUUUUUUUUUUGAGACAGAGUCUUGCUCUGUCGCCCAGGCUUGAGUGCAGUGGUGCGAUCUUGGCUCACUGCAACCUCCGCCUCCCAGGUUCAAGCAAUUCUCCUACCUCAGCCUCCUGAGUACCUGGGAUUACAGGUGGUGCCACCACACCCAGCUAAUUUUUGUAUUUUUAGUAGAGACGGGGUUUCACCAUGUUGGUCAGGCUGGUGUCCAACUCCUGACCUCAUGAUCCAUCCCCCUCAGCCUCCCAAAGUGCUGGGAUUUACAGGCAUGAGCCACGGUGCCCAGCUCUCCCAGCCAACUUUUGUCCUUCAAGACCUUGUACCUGUCUGGUCUCUAAAAAGUACCUGGCCUUCCUGUUGAGUCAUACAGCCCUGCCUCCAAGUGUCAGCGUAGUUCAUGCUGGAGACCUCUUAACAGUUCCAUGGUAUGACACUGCGGAUAUGGCUGUCUUUUCUUUGUAUCAGUGUGGUGAUUCAGAGGGUAUACUAGGGAUUCUAGAACGCACUUCUGGCUCAGGGGCUGCUUGUGUAACUUCUGUUUCUCAGCUGCCUGGUUUGUAUCAUGGGAUGAUAGUAUCUCCCCUCAGAGGAUUGCGGUAUUUCAUGAGGUGAUACGUGUAUGGAGGCCAAGUGCUGUUUUAUAUUUUAAGUGAUCUACAUCUUGAUUUUCACAACAACUGUAUAAAAGUGAUACUGUUGGCCAGGUGCGUUAGCUCACGCCUGUAAUCCCAGCACUUUGGGAGGCCAAGGCGGGUGGAUCACCUGAGGUCAGGAGUUCAAGACCGGCCUGGCCAGCAUGGUGACACCUCGUCUGUACUAAAAAUACAAAAAUUAGCCGGGCAUCGUGGCACACGCCUGUAAUCCCAGCUACUCGGGAGGCUGAGGCAUGAGAAUCAUUUGAACCCGGGAGGUGGAGGUUACAGUGAGCUGAGAUCGCACGACUGCACUCCAGAAUGGAUGACAGAGCAAGACUCUGUCUUAAUAAUAGUAUCACUUUUUUUUUUAAUCAACAAUCUCAUUUUGUAAAUGAGGAAAUCAACUUACAGACGACCUGAGUGACUUGCUCACACUGCCAGCCAGGAAAGUGCUAGGAUUUGAGCCCAGACUGUCCAGUUACAGAGAUUACACUCUGCCAUUGUGCCUCUCCAGAAGCACUGGAGGUAGGUCUAGUGCAUAGAGUAAAUGUAAAUGCUGAAACAACUGUGGCCCUAAUGAACAUCCCAUUUCUCCAGCUUUUUACUCUCCCCUUAACUUCUGAAUGACCGUCUGCUUCUAAUCUGCCAACUUGGUCUAAGAUCCUCACGGUGUUUCCUCCUGAUUACUGUUAAUGCACGGAGGUUGUCUGGAAGGUUCAUAGGCAGCCUGAUUGACUCAGUAUGUAUUAGCUGAGCACCUUUGGAGGGCACAGCCUGAGUGGUGGGAAUUAGUUCCUGGGGGCUGUCCUGCGGUGGAGACUCCCGUGAGCCCUCUGUCCUGCUGUAUGAAGGCAGCCAGUGGAAAGGCAUGUCCUCGCUGGUGCUCAAAGUAAUCUGCUACUUCUCUUACUACACUUUUCAUUCAUUCAUUCUUAAAUCGUUGAAGGCAUACUCUGCAGGUACUCUUGGGCACAGAGAUACGGUGUUUAGUAAGACAAACACUGUUCCUGGGUCUUAACGGGCUUUACAUUCCAAUGGGAUAAACAACUUAAGUAAAUAUUUUCAGAGAGGAGUACCAAGAAGAAAAGGAACAGGAUGAUAUAAUGGAGUGACUUGGAGAUCACAGGUGGUAAGAGGUCACUCUAAAAAGGUAACAUUUGAAGGCUGGGCACAAUGGCUCACACCUGUAACCCCAGCACUUUAGGAGGCUGAGGAAGGAGGACAGCUUGAGUCCAGGAGUUUGAGGCCAGCCUGGGCAACAUGGGGAGACCUUGACUCUACAAAAAAUUUAAACAUUAACUAAGUAUGGUGGCACGUGCCUGUAGUCCUAGCUACUGGAGAGGCUGAGGUGAGAGGAUCUCUUGAGCCCAGGAGUUUGAGACUGCAGUGAGCUAUGUUUGUAUUACUACACUCCAGCCUGAGGGACAGAGUGAGACCCUGUCUCUUAAAAACGAAAACCCGACUGUAUCAAAAGGUAACAUUUGAGUGGGACUUGAAAGAGUGUGCAUGCGAAGGACUGAAGACAGAAUGUUCUGUGCAGAGCGAAUUAAUGCAAUGGCUUUGCAGUGCAGAUGGGCCUGGGGUGGUCCAAUAAGGUUAGGACCAAGGUGGCUGGAGCAUCAUGAGACAAGCGUGGUACUUAGCUUGCCUUUGGUUAAGUCACUUUCUCUAUUUGAAUUUCAGUUUCUCACCUGUAAAAUAUGAGUAAUUUUAUCUGUAUUAGCCAGUGUGUAAUUAGAGGAAAAACCAUUUAAUACAGGGUAUUGUUUACAAAGGUGUUGGAAGGGCAUGAGAAACAAGGGGAGAACAAGGGCACCCAAAGCCUGACCCCCACAAGGCUAGAGGAGCAACAGGAAAAUUCGUUUCCAGAGACUGAUUCCUCAGCUGCUGAGCAGGAGCCUGGAGCCACACUUGCUGCCUGGUACUACUGACACACAACUGGAACCACCGCUGUGGCCUGGGGUGCCACCAGAAGCCAGAGAUUAGAAUUGCUUUCCCCAUCUCAUAUCUUCCAAACUCCCACCAGUGCCUCCCACUGGCUGAGUCAGAUGACAAGGGAGUCUGGGAAAUGUAGUUGUUUGGCUUCCAGCCCUGACCAUGGAGAGUAUAGAAAGGCAGGUGUAGGGGAGAAAAUAGAUGCCAUUCACACAGCGCCUAUCUUGCAGGGCUGUUUUGAGGAGUAAAAACUCAGCCUAUUUUUAUUCCUCAUAGCAUGUAGUAGCAUUCAGGGAAAGGCAAAUCUUCCAAAACAAUAUCUUAGGUAUAAUAGUUCUACAUAAAGGUUUGAAUUUACCAUUAAAAGCAUCAAAAUGAGCAUUUUAAAAGUAGAAUUUUAAGUCUGAAUGGGCAGUAUAUUCACAUGGUAUAAAAUUCAAAUUACAAAACAAUAUACAGUGAAAAAUAAGGGGGUUUUUUUGCUCAUCUUCUUGUGACCUGGCUCUUUCCAUCUCUGUCCACAACCCUCUGCAGGCAAUAACUGGUACCUUUGUUAUGGAUCCUCUGCAGAUAUAAAGUAGACAUAUAUUAACAAAUGUUUUCUUUGGCCCAGAGGAUGCAUAUUAUGCACAUUCCUCCAUUUCUUGUUUGUUUUUGUUUUUUCCACUUAAUUGUAUCUUGGAGAUCACUCUGUAUCAGUAUAUAUCUGAUUUGUUUUAGCAGUACAUGAUAAUCCAUUGUUUGGAUAUGCCAUAAUUGUAUCAGCCAGUCUCUGGACAGUCUUUUACUAUUUCAAGGAGUGCUGCAGUAAACAUGUUUGCGCCACUUCCUGGUACCCAUUGCAAAUAAAACUGGGAUAAUUUCCUGACGAGAACUUGCUGGGUCAGAGUGUAGGCACUUGUUGUUUUGAUAAAUAUUGCCAGACUACACCCCACUCCCUCCAGCAGUACAUGACACUGCCUAUUUCCCCACAGCUGUGCCAGCAUGGUCUGUUAGCAAGUGUUUUCUUUUUGCAAAUUUAAAAGUGGUAUCUCGCUAAAUGCAAUAUGGUAGCAGAGGACAUUUGUGGAAAAACAGGUGAAAUCUGGGCUGGGUGUGGUGGCUCAUGCCUAUAAUCCCAGCACUUUGGGAGGCCGAGGCAGGCGGAUCACAAGGUCAGGAGUUCGAGACCAGCCUGGCCAAUAUAGUGAAACCCCGUCUCUACUAAAAAUACCAAAAAAAGUUAGCUGGGCAUGGUGGUGCAAGCCUGUAAUCUCAGCUACUCGGGAAGCUGAGUCAGGAGAAUCGCUUGAACCUGGGAGGCGGAGGUUGCAGUGAGCCAAGAUCAUGCCACUGCACUCCAGCCUGGGUGAUGGAGUGAGACUCUGUCUCAAGAAAGGAAAAAAAAAACAAAAAACAGGUGAAAUCUGAAUGGGGUCUUGAGUUCAGUUAAUAGUAACUGCCAAUGUUGGUUCUUAGUUUUGACACAUACCAUGACUAUGUGAGAUGUUAAUGUCAGGGGAACCAGGAUGAAGGCUAUACAGAACUGUACUAUUUUUGCGACUUCUCUGUACAUCUAAAAUUAUCCUUAAAAAGGUUUCUUUAAAAAAUGACAUCUUGUUUUCUGUAAAAUUUGAAUUUCUCAUGAGUGAAAUGGAACGUUUUGAAUAUGAUGCUCUUUUUAAAAGGUGGCCUUAAUAAUUUGUAUUUACUAAGGAAAAAAGUCAGAGUUUAUUUACUUUAAAAAAAUUCAGGCCGGGCGUGGUGGCUCAUGCCUGUAAUCCCAGCACUUUGGGAGGCUGAGGCGGGCGGAUCACGAGGUCAGGAGAUCAAGACCAUCCUGGCUAACAUGGUGAAACCCUGUCUCUACUAAAAAUACAAAAAAUGAGCCGGGCGAGGUGGCAGGCGCCUGUAGUCCCGGCUACUCUGGAGGCUGAGGCAGGAGAAUGGCGUAAACCCGGGGGGUGGAGCCUGCAGUGAGCAGAGAUUGCGCCACUGCACUCCAGCCUGGGGGACAGAGCGAGACUCCGUCUGAAAAAAAAAAAAAAUUCAUUAACAGUACAUUUAAAAUUUCUGUUACUGGAGAUUGUAUUUCUCAUUCCAUCCAUUAAUGUGCAGCUUCAAUGUUUUCCCCCAGAUAUGCAAUUUCACUUACAGGAUCUUGUUCUUCAGUGACAUGUCAUAAGAGUUAAUAAUUCCACAAGCCACCCUGCACUGCUGUGAUCCUAACAAUAUUGAAAGGUUGGUGUGUAUCCUUUCCUACCUUUCCUCAUUCUAAAAUGUUUCCUCGUUCUAAAUGCCAAGCUGGUUUUGAACAACUGACCUCAGGUGAUCCACCUACCUUGGCCCCUCAAGGUGCUGGGAUUAUAGGCAUGAGCUAACAUGCCCAGCCCUAAUCUGCUCUUCUUAGAUGGAUACUUGUCAGAUUGGGUUAAGACCCACUCUCAUGGCCUCAUUUUAACUUAAUUUUCUCUUUAAUAAAAGUCCAAAUGCAGUCCAUUCUGAAGUACUGGGAGGUUAAGAUUGUGUUAUUUGAAUUGAAGUGAGGGUGAGGGGCAGGGGCACACAACUCAGCCCAUAACACGUAGGAUUAAAAAAAUUCUUCGGGUCCGGGGAGGUGGCUCACACCUAUAAUCCCAGCACUUUGGGAGGCCAAGGUGGGAGGAUCACUUGAGCCCAGGAACUGGAGGAUGCAGUGAGCUAUGACUGCACCACUGCACUCCAGCCUGGGUGACAGAGUGAGACCCUGUCUCAAAAAAUAAAGUGAAGCCUCAGCCUCAGCAUACAGUGAGGCAGUGUGUGUGUGCAGUGAAUCGAAGUUCCAGUCAUCAUUACUUCAUUUCAGGGCUCCACACUGCCAUCUGGGCAUCCCCAGGCCUCUCUGGACUGGCCCUGCCCCACCCUCAUGGAGGUAGCCUUUACCUGGCAGGCACCUCAGAGGCUGGUCCUAUAUGUCACAUCAUUGAGAUAAAAAGAAAUCCAAGGCUGGAAGCAGUGACAAAUGGUGUGGACUUGGUGGAAGUUGCCCAGGGAGAUGGAUGAGAAUGGUGACAUCACACAUAGCACGGCUUUUUCUCCAAAAUCCCAGGACUUACCACAGUGGCCACACUCUGUCUCUCACCUGUUCACUUUCUUCUGCUCGCUCGCUCUCUCUCAGCCUCCCCUGUCCCACCUUUUCCAUAUGCGAAGACUCUCCCCCAGCACCCCUGUGGUGGUUUAAAAGCAUGGCAGCAAACUCCUCGGCAUUCCUUCCUUCAGGGUGGUGCCUAAGUCCCCUCCCAGGGAAUCUGAGUGGGCCUAUAACUGCUUCAGUCAGCAGGGUGUAGAGGAAGUGAUGCUGAAUGACUUUUAAGGUUGGCUCCUAAAAGGCCAUAGAGGCUCUGUCACUGGAGCUCCCUGUGCUGUGAUGGAAGUCUGAAGUCUUAAUGCUGAAGAAGCCCAAGCCAUGUGGAGAGGCCAGGUGUCAAAGCUCUAGUGAGCAUCACAGCUGAGCAGGGACAGGGCCCUCUGCUUCUUGUGGAGCCCUCUCUAGAUUCCCCACACACAGAAUCCACAAGCAGAAUGAAGUGGCUGUGAUUUGAUGCCCCUGGUUUCCUUGUUAUGCAGCAGUAGAUCACUGAAAUCAACCCCCUUCUAAAGGCCUCUCUGCAGACAUUCUCCACUUGGUGAGACCAAAGCUAGCCUAACAGGGCUCAGCAGCAGAGAAGCCCAGCCAUUGGCCAAAAAAGCCACUGGCUACCAUGCAGCCAGGAUGUCCUUGGGGAGCCUUGAUCUAUCCCACCACAUCAACAUUUCCACCUCAGACAUGGGAAAGGCACCAAGGUGUGAGCAUGGGCAGUACUCCUAGGGAACCCCAAGCACACCCCAUUGCCCCAAGAUGCAAAUGGAACUCCUCACUGGUCCCAUAGUUUUACAAUGUGAGUCUAGGAAAGCACAGAUGAGCCCUCUUUUAUGUUAUUGUCCGCCUUGGCGGAGAAUGGAAACAGCAAGAAUGCUGAGCUUGUGGUGCAGACUUGGAGAUGCAUUUGUCACUAGAACCUUAGCGCGUGCUUGUACAACCCUGGUGGUGGAGAGAUGAAUGGACGAGGCCCCUCCUUUCCAUAGCUCAUGUGGCCAGCCCCUCAUCUAAGGCAGGGGCCAAAACAGAGCAGGAAUGUGGAAGGGUGGCCAGCUGUCCUGGCUUGCCUGGGCCUGAGGGGAGUCCCAGGGCAUGGGAUUUUUAGUUUUAAUAUUGGGAGAGUUUUGGGCAAACUGGGCCAAGUUGGUCACAUGAGGGUGUGGCAAGCAAGGCAAAGAUGGUUUGAUCAUUGCAGCCCCUCACUUCCCAUAGCUCACUGCAGAGCCUGUGUCAUCCUGACAACAACGAUGUGGAAGGUGAGACAUCUGGCAGCAUUUUGACUUCAUGAACUGGGAAACGCACAUGGGUGGAGGCGCCUGCCCACGCUGCCCAGUGUCUCAUGGUGGCCACAAGAGGCUGCGGCUCCUGUUGCUCAAACAGGGCCCUGUUCUUGUCCAGCAUUUCCACAGCAAGGCCCCUGCUCACACCAGACACUUCCAGGGAACCCUUGGCCAGAUGACAGCAGUUGCUCUGGUAGUUAACGUUAUGGGAAACAGAUUCUAGGAAGCGCCCAUGCAUCGCAUCACACUUUUUCAUCUCUCCUUCUGUCCAUCCUUCUGCCCACUCCUAGUUAGGGCAUGUGUGCUCCAGGCUGGGAGCCAGGGCAGCCUCAUGGGUCAGCCCCAUCCGCAAGGAACCCAUGUCUGGGGAGACAGGCAUUCAAGAAUGAGAUAUUUUCAGGUGAGUGCUAGGCAGGCGAUAUCACUGAACAUACUUAGGGGUGAGUGGGGAAGGAGGUCUACCUAGGUAAGGAGGUAUGUGAGUCUGUCCUAGCCAAAUACCACAGACUGGGUGGUUGAAACAACACAGUUCCUGCUCACAGUUCUGCAGGCUGAAGUGCAAGAUCAAGGUGCUGGCAGAUCCCGUUCCGGCUGAAGGCAGAUGUCUGCCUUCUUGUGUCCCCACAUGGCUGAGAGACACAGAGAGUUCUCUCCUUAUAAGCAUACCCUUUCUGUCAGAUUAAGAUGCCACCCUGUGGCCUCAUUGCACCUUCGUUGCCUCCUAAAAGCCCCGUUUCCAAGUACAGUCCCAUUCUGAGGUCCUGGGAGUUAGGUCCUUAACACAGGAAUUCUAGGCGGACACAAUUCAGUCCCUAGCACCCCCGUUCCCAGUUGGAUCAAGGCCUCAAAAUGAAGACAGGCUUGUCUCACCUCACCUGUCCCUCUUCUGAGAAGCUGCAAGACUGAGAGGGAGCUGGAGAUAAUAGGUUGAUUUGGGACAAGGACACUACAGGGUGAGGACAUGGCUCUGUGUCCCAAGGUUUUGGGGCAGCAGACUGGUGGAGGACCAUGCUCAAGGGUUCUGAAGGGGAGCAGCUUCCUUGGCAGCCCGAGGCCCAAGACACAGAGGGCAGAGCACACAGAUACGAGCUGGGGCUGGAUACAUUGCUGACUCUGGGUAGAAGGCGAUGGAAAUGAGGGUCUGACGCUAUGUUCAAUCCUGUCCCACCCUAUGUGAUGGCUGGAGGGACAAGGGAACCCCAGUAGGAUGAUGGAUUCCUAGGGGUUGCAAAAGGAAUGGGCAGGGCCAGCCAUCACUGAGACAGCACCCAGGCGGUCUCGUAGGUUUUGCUUAGAGACUGUGUGCUCCACUUGCCAUUGCCAGGAGAGGCAUCCACCCAGGCGUCCAUGAAUACAUGGAUACACACAAGGAGGUGCAGCCACAUGAUACAAUGUGAUUCAGCUAAAGGAGAGUGGAGCUCCGGUCCAUGGACCUUGCGGAGGCACCUUGAGAACAUUGUUCCGGGUGAAAGAAGCCAGACACAAAAUAAAAUAUUGUAUGGUUACAACAAUGUGGAAAUGUCCAGAACAGGCACAUCCACAGAGACAGAAACCAGAUGUGUUACUGCCAGGGGCUGGGGGCAGGAGGGAAAAUGGGGAUGGCUUCUCGGGGGAAUGAGGUUUCUUUUGGGAGAUGAGAAUGUUUUGGAAGUAGAUAGAGGCGAUGGCUGUGCCACAUUGUGGAUGCACCAAAUGCAACUGAAUUGUACUCUGAAAUGAUUAAUUGUACAUUGUGUGAAUUUCACCUAAAUUUAAAGAAAAAGGUGACCAUGAGAGCAAAAUCUGUCCCAGCCAUGGAAACCCCCGGGCUCACCUGGGUACACUUAAACCGAACUCUCUGGCCCCUUGCUGGUCUACCUCCCCAGCCCAGACCAACAAAUAGCAGGUCCUGGAGAUAUCUGGGCAGCAUCCACACAUCAUUUCCAUAGAGCACAUGCCAGGGGCCCUGGCAUGAGUGGGACAGAGAUGAGGGAGACCACCGCAGAGAGCCACAGGAUAGAUACUGUGCUGCUCACAAAGGUCCUUUAAAAUUUUCCAGCAGCGGCUGGGCAUGGUGGCUCAUGCCUGUAAUCCCAGCACUUUGGGAGGCCAAGGUGGGUGGAUCACUUUAGGUCAGGAGUUCAAGACCAACCUGGGCAACACGGUGAAACCCCGUGUCUACUAAAAUACAAAAAAUUAGCCAGGAGUGGCAGCGUGUGCCUGUAGUCCCAGUUACUCGGGAGGCUGAGGCAGGAAAAUCGCUUGAACCAGGGAGGCGGAGGUUGCAGUGAGCCAAAAUCACGCCACUGCACUCCAGCCUGGGCGACAGAGUGAGACUGUCUCCAGAACAAACACAAUUUUCCAGUAGCAACACUUAAAAAGUAAAAGGAGGUGAAAUUAUGUUUUCUCUUUGAGACAGAGUCUUGCUCUGUCGCCCAGGCUGGAAUGCAGUGGCGCAAUCUCAGCUCACUGCAACCUCCGCCUCCUGGGUUCAAGCGAUUCUUUGGCCUCAGCCUUGCAAGCAGCUGGGAUUACAGGCAUGUGCCACCAAGCCUGGCUAAUUUUUGUAUUUUUAGUAGAGAUGUGGUUUUGCCAUGUUGGCCAGGCCUGUCUCGAACUCCUGACCUAAAGUGAUCCACCUGCCUCGGCCUCCCAAAAUGCUGGGAUUACAGGCAUAAACCACUACGCCUGGCCUGAAGUUAAUUUUAAUAAUAUAUUUUACUUAACCCAGUAUAUAUCCAAAAAGUAUCAUUUCAUCAUGUCAAUUAGAAUUUAUGAGUGAGACAUAGGUGGGAGUUGAACAAUGAGGACACAUGGACACAGGGCGGGGAACAUGACACACCGGGGCCGGUGGGAGUCGGGGGCAGUGGGAGGGAUAUCAUUAGGAGAAAUACCUAAUGUAAAUGAUGAGUUGAUGGGUGCAGCACACCAACAUGGCACAUGUAUUCCUAUGUAACAAACUUGCACAUUGUGCACAUGUACCCUAGAACUUAAAGUAUGAUAAUAAUUUAAAAAGGAAUUUGAGAUAUUUUAACAUUCUUUUUCUUUCUUUCUUUUUUUUUAUUUUUUUGAGACGGAGUCUUUCUCUCUCGCCCAAGCUAGAAUGCAGUAGUGUGAUCUUGGCUCACUGCAACCUCCGCCUCCCAGGUUCAAGUGAUUCUCCUGGCUCAGCCUCCCGAAUAGCUGGGACUACAGGCACAAGCCACCACACCUGGCUAAUUUUUGUAAUUUUAGUAGAGGCAGGGUUUCACCAUAUUGGUCAGGCUGGUGUUGAACUCCUGACCUCAGGUAAUCCACCUGCCUUGGCCUCCCAAAGUGCUGGGAUUAAAGGCGUGAGCCACCACACCCAGCCAACAUCCCUUGUCUCCCCUCCCCUCCCUUCCUCCUCCCCUCCCUCUUCCCUCCCCUUUUCUUCCCCCUUUUUGAGACAGACUCUUGCUCUGUCGCCCAGGCUGGAGUGCAGUGGUGCAAUCUCGGCUCACUGCAACCUCCGCCUUCCAGUUUCAAGCGAUUCCUCUGCCUUAGCCUCCUGAGCAGCUGGGACUACAGGCACGCACCACCACGGCUGGCUAAUUUUUUGUAUUUUAGUAGAGACGGGGUUUCACCAUGUUGGCCAGGAUGGUCUCGAUUUCCUGACCUCGUGAUCUGCCCACCUCGGCCUCCCAAAGUGCCGGGAUUACAGGAGUGAGCCACUGCGCCCAGCCAACAUUAUUUUUCUUCAUACUGACUCUUCCAAAUUCUCUGUGGGGUUUUGCACUUGGAGAGUAUCUCACAGAUCCUGAAACCCAGGGACUCCUAGAAACUUCUCUCCAAUUCUUUAGAGAGAACGCUGCAGCUCGGAGGGGCCUCGGGGGGAUCUGGUGUGACUUUUCCCAUUUCCACAGAGGAAACCCAGCGAAGCCUAGGGAGGUCCUAAGAUGACCCUGGGGCCCCAGUGUAAGCUUGCAGCGGAGCCAGGACCAAAUGCCUGUCCCACCAGCCCUCGCCUCCCUGCUAGGGCCCAAGGCGUCUCUGCUCUUCCGGAUGGAGAAAGAAGCUGCCUUUUGAGGCUGCAUCUCAUCUUGUGGUUUGGGGUUGGAGUUGGGAGAGAAUGCCUGAGAAAAGGUCAGGUGUGGUGGCUCACACCUGUAAUCCCAGCACUUUGGGAGCCCGAGGCGGGCAGAUCACGAGGUCAGGAGUUCAAGACCAGUGUGGCCAAUAUGGUGAAACUCUGUCUCUACUAAAAAUACAAAAAAUAGCCAGGCGUGGUGGCGCAUGCCUGUAGUCCCAGCUACUCGGGAGGCUGAAGCAGAAGAAUCGCUUGAACUCAGGAGACUGAGGUUGCAGUGACCCAAGAUCAUGCCACUGCACUCCAGCCUGGGUGACAAAGCAAGAUUCCGUCUCAAAAAAAAAAGAAAAAAGAAAAUGCCUGAGAAGAUAGGAAUUGGUGGAGAUGAGGGGACACAGGUCCCCAGGCCUCCUGGACUUACAUAGCCUGGGAAGGCGGAGUCAGAAGAAGGAGGAUGGUAUGCGGGAAGAGAGGCAAGAAAGAUGCCAGCGAGGGAGAACAGCAGGGGGCAUGGGAAUAAUUUGGGAUUUGCUUCCACGGAUUGGGGGGGCGACAGGUCUUAGCUUCCUGUGGCCACUGUAGCAAAUGACCAGAAAUGGGGUGGCUUCAAACAGCAAGCAUUUGUUCAGAAGAAUGAAAUCAGGGUGCUGGGAGGGCCGUGUUCCCUGAGAGGCUCUGGAGAGAUGCUCCCUCCCUCUCCCACUUCUGGUGGCUGUGGCCUGCCUGGACUCGUGGCCUUGUCACGCCAGCCUCUGCCUCAUGGUUGCACGUCAGCCUUCUUGGUCUCAACUCUCCCUCCGCCUCCCUCGUAUAAAGACACUUGGUUGGGUUUAGGGCCCACCCAGAUAAUCCAGGAUGAUCUCCUCAUCUCAAGAUCCUUAAUCUAAGUACAUUGACAGAUAUUUUUCCAAAUAUAGUGGCACUCACGGGUUCUAGGAAUUAGGAUGUGGGCAUGUCACUUUGAGGGUCACCAUUCAACGCACUGCAAAGUGACAGAGUGAGAACAUCAGUCCAAAAGUAAGGAGAGACCCUGUGCCAUCAGAGACGGUGUAUCCUGUGGAGUCAUUCAGGCAGGUGACUUGGAACAGGGAGUUUCAGCGUAGUGAGCCCUUGGUGCCUGGCUUAGGAGUGAAUGAGAUUAGGAGGUUACAGAGGCCUUCCUAAGAGGCCCCAAGAGUCUUCCAGACCUCAGCACCCCCAUCUGGAGGGGAGCAGUGGGGCCCUGUUGCCCUCACACCUGUGUCUCUAUUGUCUGAAAGUUCAGUAGAAGGGAGUUCACCACCUCUGUCACCUCUGUCAGCUCCUGCCUGGGGGCCACUCUCUCCUCACCCAGACACAGGCUCCCCAGCCAGAUCACUCUGGAACUUUCCCUGGCAGCUCAGAGUGGCAGGAGUCAGAGCUGUGUUGACAUUGCACAUUUUUGAACCUGUCUACAGCAGCCUGGGUUGGGCACAACCUGGAAUUGCCCUCAGGAGCUGCCUUGGGCCUGUGCAUCAGUGAGGCCAGGGCGGCCGCCUCUGUACUGACCUGCCAGUCGGCUGGCUCUUCCUGCUUCCUUCCUGCUGCUCCAGGCCUCCCAGGUCUAGCACACGUGCAUUCAUUGUGGCCAGGAGUCCUGCAUUGAGGCUCAGGACACCUGGGUCUCUGUCCCACCUGCCCCUAACCUGUCACCCCACCUUGGGGCCUUGGUUUCUCUCCUUUAAAAAGGAGUUGAAUUAUGGAAGGUUUCUUCCAGCUUGGUCCUCUGUACAGGGGAUUGUGCCAAGCAUGGGUGGUGGGCAAGAGUUAAGGAGGAAGGUGGCUGGCUAUAGUGGCUCACGCCUGUAAUCCUAGCACUUUCGGAGGCCAAGGCGGGCGGAUCACUUGAGGUCAGGAGUUUGAGACCAGCCUGGCCAACAUGGUGAAACUCUACUAGAAAUACAAAAAUUAGCCGGGCGUGAUGACAGGCGCCUGUAAUCCCAGCUGCUCCGGAGGCUGAGACGUGGGAAUCACUUGAACCCGGGAGGCAGAGGUUGCAGUGAACUGAGAUUGCACCACUGCACUCCAGCCUGACUUUUUGAGACUCUGUUUCAAAAAAAAAAAAAAAAGGAAAAGGAAAAGGAAGGUGAUGGCAGGUAGGGGUUUCCUGAGAGACUAUGAGGGGAGCCCAGGGCCAGAGAGAGCAGGGAAGGCCCAGCCAGCGACUGCUAUCUAUAGAGUGGGCCAGUGCCUGUCAGGUCACUGUAUCCUCCCAGCAAACUCCUAUCCUUAUUUGUUCUGGAAUGUUCUCAGUGGUGUCUGGUGGAAUUGCUCUCCUAGGUAUAAGCUCAGAUUGGGUUUCUGCCCAUCCUGGGGUCAGCUGAGACAGGGUAGUGUGUGUUGUAGGGAGAAGCACUGAGCUGCCCUCUGACAUCCUUCGGCUACAGGGACCAAAACGAGUUUAGGAAGGGUGUGAUCUGAUACGUUUAUUCUUUUUUUUUUUUAAUUUUCAUUUUUCUUUUUUUUCCCCUCUUUUUUUUAGAGACGGGGUCUCGUGUUGCUCAGGUUAGAGUUCAGUGGCUAUUCACAGGCAUGAUCUCACUGCUAAUCAGCAUGGGAGUUUUGACCUGCUCCGUUUCCAGCAGAGGCUGGUUCACCUCUCCUUAGUCAACCUAGUGGUCCCCUGCUCCCAGGAGGCCACCAUGUUGGUGCUGAACUUAGUGUGAACACCUGAUUGGCAUAGCACACUACAGCCCAGAACUCCUGGGCUCAAGUGAUCCUCCCGCCUCAGCCUCCCGAGUGACUGGACUACAGGUGUGCCCCACGACACCCAGCUAACCAUUUUUUAAUGAAAAAAAAGUGUAGUUUUCUCCAUUUUUUUCAUUCAAAAAUCUUUCUUUCAGCUAAUACUUAUAAGCACCUGCUUUGUGCUAGGCUUAUUUGUGCAGUAAAUUCUUUUUUUUUUUUUUUUUGAGACAGAGUCUUGCUCUGUCGCCCAGGCUGGAGUGAGGAAGCCCUAAUAUAUAAUCUUCAGUCAACUGUUAAUCUGGAAGCCUCACCACAUUGCUUUUUGGAUUAGCAGAAUGCCAUCCUGGGGAAUCCCAGCAGAAAGGAAGAAAGGAGCACUGUCAGUCUUACUGGUCACCCCUGGCCAAGGCCCAGUCAUGACCCUUCCUUCCAUCUCCAUUUGAUCCCAUCAUAAACCUCAAGAAAAGUAAAAAGCAUCAUCAUCUUAGGAAAAAGUGUGGCGGGGGUGCUCAAUAUGUUGAUCAUGUUAUGGCAAGACUCCAGAUUAUCUCUCUUCUUCUUUUUUUUUUUUUUUUUUAGGCGGAGUCUCACUCUGUUGCCCAGGCUGGAGUGCAGUGGCGCAAUCUUGGCUUACUGCAAGCUCCGCCUCCCGGGUUCACGCCAUUCUCCUGCCUCAGCCUCCCGAGUAGCUGGGACUACAGGCUCCCGCCACCAUGCCCAGCUAAUUUUUUGUAUUUUUUAAUAGAGACGGGGUUUCACCGUGUUAGCCAGGAUGGUCUCGAUCUCUUGACCUCGUGAUCUGCCCGCCUCGGCCUCCCAAAGUGCUGAGAUUACAGGCGUGAGCCACCGCGCCGGGCCUUGUGCAUUAAAUUCUAAAAGCAACGCUCGUACGGAAAUGCAGGCAUUUUGUGAGCAGCGCCUGGUUCCCUCCUGGCUGUGCAGCUGUGGGGCCUGGCUGUCCUUACUCUCCAGUGCAGGUGGAGCUCCUGUGGAAAGUGCAAAGGGUCCUGUUUCCAGGGCUAUGAGUGCUGUCACUUGUCACUUGUAUGCUUGCGCCAGGGCACCCAGUGGGGCAGGCAUGGAAGCUUGUUGCAGCAGCACCCUCCUCCCUGCCCCUGGAAACUAACAUGACCUCAGCAGGACAGGCCAUUUCUGGGAGGCAGCCUGUCCACAUGGAACACGUUGCCAUGGAUGGUAUGAUGGUGGUCAGCUGCAUGGGUCAUCUGGCGCAAGACUGGCCCAGGCAUCUCUGAUCUUAGGGCUGACAAGCGCUGGAUGAAGAGUAAGUGGUGGUCUGGGCUCUGGCCCCAGUGACAUCAUGCGCUUGCAGUGGCCCUGAAUAGCCACCCCUGCUUCUGCGCCUUCUUUCUCUGCUUAGAAAUGAGCCCUGCCAUCACGCUGGACCCUUCAUCCACUCAAUAUUUUUCUUAAGUGGGUUCAUUCUUUGAACACUGAAACAUAUUAUUUAAAAGGGAAACUGGCCGGGCGUGGUGGCUCAUGCCUGUAAUCCCAGCACUUGGGGAGGCCGAGGCAGGUGGAUUGCUUGAGCCCAGGAGUUCAAGACUAACCCAGGCACCACAGGAAGACCCUGUCUCUACAAAAUAUCAAAAAAUUAGCUGGGAAUGGUGGUGCAUGCCUGUAGUCCCAGCUACUCAGGAGGCUGAGGUGGGAGGAUUGCUUGAGCCCUGGAGGUUGAGGCUGCAGUGAGCUGUGAUUGUGCCACCAUCCUCCAGCCUGGGAGACAGAGUGAAACUCCAUCUCAAAAAAUAAAUAUUUUAUUUAGAAAAGGAAGCUCUGUGCAGCCACCUAAAUGGAACACCUGUAUCAUGUGCAGGUAACUGCAAAAGUAAAUACAAUGAAGACCAAAGCCAAAAUAUUAUAAAAUUCCAGAUAGACUUGGCUGCCUCCCUACAUCUCGGUGCCUGGGCUCUGCAUUUGUUGGAGUUAGGGGCGUGCUGGCCUGGAGCUGAGCCCUACUUCACCUACACAGGUGACUGGAAGAUCCUUGAAGAGGGAGGCUCUUUCCCAGCAGGUGAGGGGUGCCAUUGAACUUGGGGCUUUGCUCUAUCUAGGAAGGCCUGCCAGCCGGCGUGCCUCUGAAGAAAUGCUCACCUGUGAGCAGGGAGCGCUCCCUAAACGCUAGUGGUGGGAUUCUCCCUCUCUCCACUGGGCCUCAAAACACAGGCUCUUUGUUCACAUGGCUGGAGACUGCCGAGGGUUUGGCUGCUGCUCAGGACCGCCUGGAUUCCUCACAGAGAGUGGCAAGGAGGCAUCAGGAUACACCAGGAAAUUCCCAGAACCAUAAGGUGGGAGACCCAGGUUUGAGUCCUGCCUUUGGCACCAAGCCAGCUGGGGGACUUUAUUAUUCAUGCAGUCUACAAAUAUUUAUUGAGCAUUUCCUGUGUGCCUGAUACUGUGCCAGGGCUGGGCUUUGGCAGUAAACAAGAUGGAAAUGAAAUUGCUUUGGCAAUUUGGCAGUCUGGCAAUUUGGCAAUGAACAAGAUGGAAAUCAAACCCCUUGCCCUAGUGGGGCUUUUAUUGAAGUGACAGGAGAUAGUCAGCAAACAAGGAAACAAGUAGGAAACUUCCAAGUAGUGAUAUGGGAUCAGAAUAAGAUGGGGUAAUAGGAUAGAGUGCCUAGGGAGCCAGCAUUAGAUGGGGAGGUCAGGGAAGGCAGUGUCUGGAAUAUGGGUGUGAUGCCUGGAGACAUAGCAGCCAUUUUGUGACCAUGAGGCAAGAAGCAUGAGGACAAAAAACAACAUAGCAACGAUGCUGCAGAGGGAAGUUGAGAAGAGCCUAGGCCUUUGAUGACAUCAUUGCACCACUGCACAAACUCUGGACCUUCAUCCUCCAGGCUUCAUGAUACAUGAGAUAAAUGAAAUGCCCUGUGGGUUAGGCUUUUCUAGCAGCUAAACAUGUCUUUAACUAAAACAGACUUAAACGACAAGGAAGAGCAAACUAGGAGAAUAUGUAGAAGAAGAACAUUUCAGGUAGAGGGAACACAUGUGCAAAGGCCCUGAGGCAGGAAUGAGCUUGAAAGAGUUGAUGAACAUAACGUCAGUGCAGCUGAAGUGUGAUGAAGUGGAGGGACAUAGGUAAGCAGAGGCAGCAUUGGGGCCCUUGGGUUUUAUCCUUCAUGCAGUAAAUAAGAGGGCAUUGGGGACUUUUGAGCAGGAGAGAGACACGAUGUGAUUGAGGUUUUAGAAAGCUCUUUCUGGCUGCUGCAUGGAGCCCACAGGGGGCAAGACAGCAGUCAGGCCAAAAGGUCAAGUGAGGAGUGAUGGACUCUGGCCUGACUCGGCCACAGCAGAGAUGGAGUCUGGGGGCCACGCAUAUAAUACACCACACACACCUCAAUACACCCCCUUCUGCCCAGGCAGACCCAGGUUCCAGUCCUGACCCUGCCACUUGUCAGCUCUCAAACCUACCCAUUUUCUCUCUCCUUACUGCCCCAAUCAUAGUGCAGGACGUCAUCGUCUCUCACCUAGCAUCUGCCACGGCCUUCUAAUCUGCCUUCCUACCUCUAGCCUUCAUCCCUCCCAUCCUUUUUCCACAUCCCAGCCACAGUUAUAUAUUUUUUCUUUUCUCUUUUUUUUUUUUUUUUCCAGAUAGAGGUUCACUGUGUCACCCAGGCUGGUCUCCAACUCCUGGGCCCAAGUAAUCCUCCCACCUCAGCCUCCCAAAGUGUUGGCAUUACAGGCGAGAGCCACUGUGCCUGGCCUAGCCACAAUAAUUCUUUUAAAACAAUAAAUGUAACCAUACUGCUUCUCUGCUUAGAAUCUUCUAGUGGAGCCUCAGCGUCAAGUCUAGAUCCCUGGCCAUGGCCUGUGUGUUUGUCAGGGCGUUGUCAGCUGCUGGAGCAAAUGGGCUGAGAAAUGCUUCAUAGUUAAGAUGCAGUUCAGUCUGGUUCUUCCUCACUGUGGUGUGAAGUAGGUGUCUCUUGCCAGUGGAUAGCUUUCCUCCACGCGGUGAUUCAGGGACCCAGGCUCCAACUGUCUUCUUCCCCUUCUCUAUCCAGCCAGUUUAAGGGAAGCAGAGGUGAGGGAGGAGCCCUCCCACUCUUAGAAGCCUCAGUCCACCUCUGCUCACAAUUGACUGCAGGGGGAGACUAUGAAAUAGUCUGUGUAUCCAGGGAGGUCAGAAAAUGGAUUUUUAAUGAUUCACUAUGAGUCUCACAACAGUCUUUCUUUCUGGCAACGAGAUAGCAGUGUGCUCUUUCUUCUAUCACACCCUCCCCCAGAGGGAUGACCCCAGACUCCAUCUGUCUCUGCCUGUGGCCCUGCAUCUCCUGGAACAUUCCAUGCUCUCCGCUAGUACCAUCCCGUGAUCUCCAAGUAAAAUCCAGUUCCUGCUCCCUCUGAACUGACUGGGGGCAGUUAAAGCUCUCAUUAGGGAAGGGGGAACAGGGACACACAGCAGCCCCCACACCACAAUUGCAGAAUCUGACUGGCGGUGUUGUGAAGCUCCCUGUCCUACUCGUGGAGGGAUUUCCCAUCUCUGCUUUCUGGGAGGCCCCUCCUCAUCCAGUAUUCUCCGUGGCAACAUCUGAGGUGGGGACCACAUGGUUUUUGCAGCUCUUUUCCUGCCUGUACAAGGGUGGAGGCCCAAGGCUUGUUCUACAAUGACAGGCUUGUGGUGUCUUUGGCAAUACAAUUCCCUCCAGAUUUUAGGGAGUUUUCCUUCCAAUAAGUUCCAUGUGACCACACCCGAGGUACUUUUCUACUGUCAUCUUCCAGCAGCUUUAUUUCUUUGCUUCCUUAUUUCCCAUGUCUCUGUCUCUGCUGUCUCUGUCUGUCUGUGUACUGACACUGACCUUGAGAACAUCUCAACAGUUAGUGGGGCAAGACCACCCACUUCAUUUGAUCCUUGCUGCAGGAUUAAGGCCUUUGUAGACCUGAGAGUUUUAAUGAGCCUUUGCUACUUAAAACCUUUUUAUUUUUAUUUCCUGCUAUUUGAGAUCCAUUCACAGUUCACUUUUCCAACACUACAAGGCCUCAAACUCUUCAUAUUUCCCUUUCUUCUAUUUCCACACUGUUUAUAUCUUGCUUGAGUGCGUCUCUGUCUCACAAUACCUUACUGUACACCAAAGGAAUGACUAACAUACUUUUUUUUUUUUUUGAGAUGGAGUCUCGCUCUGUCUUCAGGCUGGAGUGCAGUGGCACGAUCUCGGCUCACUGCAACCUCCGCCUCCUGGUUUCAAGUGAUUCUCUUGCCUCAGCCUCCCAAGUAGCUGGGACUACAGGCAUAUGCCACCAUGCCCAGCUAAUUUUUGUAUUUUUAUUAGAGACAGGGUUUCACCAUGAUGGCCAGGAUGGUCUCGAUCUCUUGACCUCGUCAUCUGCCUGCCUCGGCCUCCCAAAGUGUUGGGAUUACAGGCAUGAGCCACCGCACCCAGCCCAACAUACAUUUUUAUUGCAGCUCACUCAGCCACCUUCUUCUGGAGCUACAGGCUUACUUCUCCCAGUCUUCCCUUCAAGCUAUUGUAGGCUACAGGUCUAACAAACAUUUCACCUCUGCAUGACAUAAGUCUCCCACUUUCCAUUCUGCAACAUCUAUUUUCAUGUUCCCUGCUGCCUGGCCACUAAGCCAAUGGUACAUAUUUUAGGUUUCAAGUUAUGGCGGCACUCUAUUUUGAGGUAUUCAUUAGUGCACACUAUCUCCUGUAACAAAUAGACCCCAAAAUGCAGAAUGAUUAAAACACCACAGAGAUGUGUUUCUCACAUAACAAGCCAGAGUGAGAGCUCAUUAGUGGCACGUGGCUUUUCUCCUGAAAAGCUGAAUGCAGUGAUUCGGAAACCCGUGUUCUUUACAGUUAGUAGAUUCACCCUUCCCAAGGCCUAGUAACCAAUGGUAUUCAGCGGUGGAACGGGAAAGAGAGAGCCUGGAGAGAGCCCAUAUCCAUACUCCUUGCAGAAUGCAGACCUCAGGCCCCAUCUGCUGUGUGGGUGGCAGGAGGUGCAGCUGUGUGCCCAUGAGUGAAAACCCAUUGAACUGCUAACAAUCUCUCCCACACUUCAGGGCUGUCCAUCAUCCAGCCAUCCCACCUCUCCAGUCUCAUCCCUUGACCUUCCCCCUGCCAGCCUCACUCAUCUUCAUUCGAUUCCUCAAGGAUGGCAUGACUCUCUCAUCUCUAGGUCUUUGCUCAUGUUGGUUAGUCCACCUGGAGCCCUCUCUCCCUCACUGUUCUAGCCAUUCACCCAGCCAGCCAGCCAUCCACUCAUCCACCAAACCAUCCACCCACCUACUCAUCCAGCCAUCCACCCAGCCAUCCAUUCACCCAUUCAUCCAGUCACCCACCCAUCCACCCAUCCACCCAUCCACCCAUCUACCCAUCCAUCCACCCACCCAUCUAUCCACCCAUUCAUCCACUCUUCCAUCCAUCUACCCACUCAUCCACCCAGCCAUUCAUCCACCCACACCCAUCCAUCCACCCACUCACUCAUGCAUCCACUCACCCAUCCACCCACACAUCCACUCAUUCAUCCACCCACCCAUCCACCCACUCACUCAUCCACCCACACAUCCACUCAUUCACCCAUCCACCCACUCAUCCACUCAGCCAUCCAUCCACCCACACCCAUCCACUGAUUCACCCACUCAUCUGCCCACCCAUCCAUCCACCCACUCAUCCACCCGUCCAUCUAUCCAUCCACCCACUCAUCUAUCCACCAAUCCAUCCAUCCACUCAUCCAUCUGUCCACCCACUCAUCCACCCACACCCAUCCAUCCAUCCACCCACUCAUCUGCCCACUCACCUAUCCUUCCAUCCAUCCACUCAUCUACCCAUCCAUCUAUCCACCCAAUCAUCUACCCACUCACCCAUCCACCCUUUAAUCCAUACACUCACUCAUCUACCCAUCCAUCUAUCCACCCACCCAUCCACCCAGCCAUUCACCCAUCCACCCAUCCAUCCAUCCACCCACCCACCAUCCACCCACCUAUCCACUAAUUCACCCACCCACUCAUCCAUUCAUUCAUCCAUUUACCCAUCCAUCCAUCCACCCACCUAUCCACACACCCAUCCACUAGUUCACCCACCCACCCACCCAACAAAUGUUUUGAGCAC